UGUGGCUUAGUGGUAGAGCACUUGCCUCAUACGCAUGAGGCCCUGGGUUCUAUCCCUAGCA
rnacentral:tRNA from 1 species